rnacentral:lncRNA from 1 species
GGGACCAAUACCUUCGACCUCAUCCACAACUAUUACAAGACUCAAAUAUACAGAUAGGUUAUUUCCAACCUAUGAAAUUUGGGGUAGCCUGUUUGCACUAUAGCUGGAUGGUGGGGCUCCUCUCAUUGAAGGAUGAAUAUUUUAUUCAAAAGACAGGAAUGCUGGGGCCCAGCUUGCUUGCUUCUCUUCAGUUGAGGCAAUGAUGCAGCCACAGUGGGCAUGUUUUCCUACCCAGUUAUCCAUCAAGAUCAUCCUCAAGGGUUGGGGAUUUAGCUCAGUGGUAGAGUGCUUGCCUAGUAAAUACAAGGCCCUGGGUUUGGUUCCUCAGCUCUGGGGAAAAACAAAGAAAAAAUAAGAUCAUCCUCAGUCUUGCUCAGAGGCAAGACUGAUUGAUCUGGGCCCAUCCCAGAUCAAUCUAGAUGUACCAAGUGGAUGGUUGACAUUGAUUUCGCAAGAGGUCACAGCAGCUACCAAACUACUACAUCCAUUCAAUCAAGAUAGAUUUUAUAGUGUCCAGGCUAGCUUUGAACUCUUGGUAAAUCCUCCAGUUUCUUCUUUACAGCAGGUCCCAGGGCAAUAGUGAUUUAGAAUCACAUCUUGUUAACAGUAAGAAACAACCUCUGCUGGGUUGUCAGCAAAGUAACACCCAUAGAAACCAAGUGAGCUGACUCAAGGCUUGGUAGACAGGAUAAAUAUGCUCACUCACCGAGAUGAACUAUAUUCCCUCAGACGCUAUGAGGGUGGGGCUAGUUGUUGUUGCAUGGGGACUUUGUGAUAACUUCAGUGUGCACUACAUCCACAAACACAUGAAGAGGCUAGAGGAUGUUGGGGACCCGGAUGUGACACGGGAGAGAGGACAGCGUCACUCCCCUGCCUUGAGGACAUCAGCUGCCUUGAGGAUCAGGACAAUAGGAUGAGGAUUAGGGCACCUGUGUGCUGGAAGAAUCAAGACACAAAAGCCUGAGCUUUGUCAGAGAAGUUACUGAGUUCUGCAGGGAGAUACCAUACUGUGUGCAAGAAUCUUCUGGAACAGUGAGCAGAUGUAGAUUUCAAUUUGCUGUGAGCCACACAAACAACCCCGACAAGACUAUAAUGUCCUUUGAGGACUACAGGCCUCUGAUGUUGUCUAGCUUUAUCAUUAUAUUAUUAAUAUUGAUACUUUGCCUGUAUGUAUGUCUGUAUGAGGCUGCUGGAUCCUGGAGUUACAGUUUUGAGGUGCCAUGUAGGUACUGAGAAUUGAACCCAAGUCCUCUGGAAGAUCAAACCUCUGAGCCAUCUCUUCAGCCCCUGUUGUCUGGCUUUUACACUAGUUUUUUUGGACCAUAACUCAGCUCUGUGCUUGCCAAGUAUGCACGCAUUCCUGGCUUCCAAUCUUAACACCCCAUAACCGCGAUGCACACCUGUCAUCGCAGCACUCAAG